UAUACCUGCGUUACACGAAAAUAUGCAUGGGAAAUAAUAAUAUUAUGUACAUUACAGUCAUUACACCACGUCGUAAUACAUCACAGCAUAUUUACACGGAUGUAUGAGUAUGUACGUCCUUAUAGUAGAGCUCCUUGUUCCACGUGCACACGCUUUUACGUAUUCACGUGAAAUUAACAUUCGAAUCUAUAAAACCGUAUAGAUAGAUACUUAAAAAAUCCGUGUACAACGCAUACGUGUAAUUAUUCACGUGUUUCACGAUAUUUU